rnacentral:lncRNA from 1 species
AAAAAGCAAAUAGAAGAGCUUUACUUAGUCUCCGUGUGAAGCUCCAGGAGGGCCCGUCUCAGUCCGAUGAACUUUGCAGCAAUAUUAUAGUUAUUCGUGAGAGAAAGGAAUCAGAAUGCCACAGCUCAAAGUGAACAAGCACCUGAUUUUUGCAACUGAGCCUUUCCUGACCCAAGAAGUCUCUAACAAUAUUUUCUCUACCAUCACCAAGUACACUUUAUUUUUAUUAAAUGAUAUUGUAGCAAGCUGCUAAAAAAAAUUAUCGCAAACGGUAAUGUAAAAACAAAUCAAGACACUUUCUGAAGAACUGUGUACCACUAAAAGUAAUAUAUUCGCAAUGUUCACAGAAUUCCAUUAAACAUAAAGAAAAAACAUAACUGAUAUAUUGUACUUAAUUAUUUGUGGAGUAAUAACCAGGUACAGUGAAAGUCUAGGCAAUGUGGACUACCUCAUUAAAUAACUGAUUGUCAACCAUCACAGUUAGAUCAGACCUAGAACUUAAAGCAAGCUGUAGGAAGCCACGCCAAAACAAAACCCGAUAGUUCCCAUGUGACCUGACUCCUCUGCUCUAAUGCGAGCACCUUUGCCGGUACGAAAACCUUCUCACUGAUUCUAACUGUUACUCCUGAAAAGUGGAAAUGCAGCUGUCCUUACAGCAAAUAUCAUAUCUAUCUAACAACCCCCAUAGGUCUUUCAGUAAUCUGCUCAUUUAUCGAGCUCACCGAAGUAUUCAGAAUCUAUGCACAGAAGAAUAGGUGGGGGUUGCGUUUAUUUGCCUACUUCUUACCAUAGGGAAGCUUAAAAGAUGUUUGUUGACUGCGGCAAAUGGACUCUUGGCAAACAUUUAGGGGAAGCUACUCAGUGGUGUCUCAGGGCCCAACAGCUCACGCACCCAUGUUUCUGCUACAGUCCUUGCCUUUUCCAUUCUCAGUAUGUCUGUCCGGGUCUGGGAGACGCAAUAUGGCGGAAAUUGUGAACAACCUCGAUUUCUUUUCAAAUGAUAUCACAGCAAAUGUGAGAGGAAUAGCUGAUAAUUCCAAAUAAAAGAACGUCUUCAAAAUUUCCCUAGAAAACGAUGGAAGUCCAACAUAGAAGAAUCCCUGCUAACGGCAUGAUUCCAUUCCUAGAACCUCCAGAUGCUCCUAAUGGACCAUAAAACCUUAAUUGUAUCAUAUGUUUAGUUGCACCCUAAAUCUGGGUGCCAAGAUUCUGAUGUCACCAAAAAGCCUCGAUACCAUGGGCAGUGCAGCUCAAGUCCGCACUAUAAAUUGUGCACCCAAGGAGGGCAAGGUCCUCAGGGAAGUGUUUCUCUUCUGUGGGAACAGGACUCUGAAAGUACAUAGAGAACUCAUGCAGGUCGCACGAUCUUCCCUAACACAUCUAUGAUCAGGGUGGCCAGGACAAGGAACUCCCUAGCUCUGAGGGAAAUCCAAUUUAUUUGUAAGUUCCCAGUUCGAACCUGCAUCAUCACACAGGCCUGUUGGAUGGUCCCAACAUAUAUGUGAGUGAAUGUUCUCAGUCAGAACCUGAGUUAUCCAUCACGCAGGCCUGUGGGAUGGUCUGCAUCAUUGAUCACACACCUGUUUCAGUCAUGUUGCGUCAUGACCUCAGCUUCAAUUGACAUAGUUAUUCAGGUAUUUUUUUUUUUACACAUUCCUUGGGCAUCAUCUUUCUGAAGACUCACUGUUGCACCUAUUAAUCUGACAUUGACUAAAUGAGCAAUUCUGGGCACAUUAAUUUCUUUCACAGUAUGGAGGAGCAACACCAGGGCCUUGCACAUGCAAGGCAAGUAGUGUUCUGCUAAGCUCCACUCCCAGCCCUGUUUGUGUUAAACUUGAAAUACAUUUCUGGCAAGACAAAUAACACAUUGAAAGCCACACCUGAAGAGCACUGGCUUUUUAAAUGUUUAAUGUAUGUUCGAUCAGUUAAAAUUGAACAUCAUUACCUGAAUUAGAUUAUCUAUAUUAUUUUAAGGGCAAGGAGUUUUGCAUUCCAAAUUUUAAAAUCUGUUUUUCAUUGUCCUUCUACUUGACUAUAACCCCAUAGUUGGCUUUCCAUUUACGUGUCUCUGUAGUUAGGUAUGACUAACUAUAAACAAGCUUUGCUUGUAUGUUUCUAUUGAACUUCAAGAUCUGUGUGGAAACCAUCACACUUAAUGGGAGGGUACAAAUGUGCUCAGAAAGUAAACAGUGGCCCUUAAAUGCAUCUUGUGUCCUCUUCCUCCUCUGCAGAGCACUACCCACUACAAGAAAGAAAUGAAAGGGCAUGAAUUGCUUCAGACUUCCCAACUUUAUCUCAGGGGAUGAAAAAUAAGUUUUGUGUUUCUCGUUAAUCGAUAUAGGAAAAAGGCUAGGCACUUAAGACUUGUCCUGAUCCAGUGGCCACCAUAUACUGAUAAAAGUCUAAAGACCAUGGAGACUUGGUUCCUUAAUCUUAAAUACAUUCUUCAAUGUUUGGCAUUUUUAUCUAUUUGUUACUCAAAUGUGUUGCUAAUUCUCCCAUUUUUUCUUUUGACAAAUUAAGCCUGUUGGAGUAAGCUAUAAAACAGACAUAUACAUUUCCCCCCACUUGCUACAAAAGAUGUCUUUAGACAUAGUAUUGAGACCUCCCCUCCAGAUGACAGGUUUGGCCAGGUGUGGUAUGGAGGCUUAGGUCCAUGUACUAGGAUCUCAAACUCAGAGGUCCAAGGAGUAGCCAUACCCUGCCUUCCUCACAAGUCUAAGGGGAAAAAAUUCUCUACUGGGAGUUUUAUAGUCAGGUAAUGUUUUAGCCAUUUGAAGUCAGCACUUAGAGUUAGAUUGCAUUGCCCUUGAGAGAACCAAUGAUUAUUCAUUUCUCUGCCAUAAUAAAUGAAUUGUUCUUUAUUUUUCACAUGUAUUAAGCACAGGUCUGAUGCAAUUAUUUAAGGUAUAAAAUACUAGAAAAUGAAAUGUAAAGAAUGGGAAAUUAUAUUUUUUGCAUGAAAAUAGACUGCUUACAAAUUUGCUUAAUAUCUCAGGACAAAAGAAUGAACAGUUGUAUGUAAAAUUGAUAAAUAAGUUGUAUUUUCUUUACAGUUUUUAUUUUAAGAAAACCCUACAAUGGGGAAGGGGGCUGAUAGUUUUAGGGUCUCUCUUAAGUAUGCUACAUAAUCCUGCCUGUGAAUCUACAAAUCCUCCCAUGAGAAUGAGACCAGCUCCAUGUGAGGACCAGUCCCUGAACGAGAUCCUCUUCACUGAGAACACAUUAGUGGUUGUACUGCAGAGGCGAUGAAUACUCGUAAGAAAGCGUUUCUAAACCUAGUCCCAGACAUCAAGGGUUUUCACAAGGUAACAAUGCCACGGAAGCACUCAUCUCUCCACUCAUUUUACGUUUCUUUGUUAAAUCAUUGCAAUGAUUGCAUGGGGAAGGGGAAAUGGCUAUUUUUUUGAAGAAUUGCUUAUCCUACUUUCAAUUUUUGAAAAUCAAGGAAUUAAAAUAUUACUUUUUAAAUAUGCAUAGAUGUAUCUUAACUGUAAUUAUAUUUUCAUUUGCUUUGUUAUAACAGCAUGAACAGCAAAUACAAAAUGCACUUACAGAAACUUUUGUAAAAAAUAAAGAUUUUUUUUAUUUCUCAAAA